rnacentral:rRNA from 1 species
GACGUAGGGCGCGAGCGUUGUCCGGAUUUAUUGGGCGUAAAGAGCUCGUAGGCGGCUUGUCGCGUCGACUGUGAAAGCCCGCGGCUCAACCGCGGGUCUGCAGUCGAUACGGGCAGGCUAGAGUUCGGUAGGGGAGACUGGAAUUCCUGGUGUAGCGGUGAAAUGCGCAGAUAUCAGGAGGAACACCGAUGGCGAAGGCAGGUCUCUGGGCCGAUACUGACGCUGAGGAGCGAAAGCGUGGGGAGCGAACAGG